AUUUCAGUGUCUUAAUACAAAUUUUGGCUCACCAAUCUGGCUUCAAACAAUUGAUGCUGAGAAGAUGAUAGUAGCCAAAAGUUGAAGGACGUAUCUGGAGCCCUUUCUCAAGAAUCAGAACCACAUGUCAGCUGGACAGAUUCAUAACCAAACUCAAAUCCACAAUAUGCUCUGCCUUUAGAAAAAGGCUCUUUAGACAUUACAUUACUAGAAGCCGACCAAUAUCAGAAUCUUUACACGUACAGAUUUAUACUAGAGUCACCUAGACACCGAUCUUUGAAUCGAAUUUGAUCUUUCGUCUUAAGUUAGAUCAUAGCUUCUGCUGUUUCUUCUCCAAGAUGGCCAAGACACAGGCACAAGAGAACAAACCUCCAGCAGGAUACCCAACUGCAACUGAGAAUCUCCCAACUGGGAAGAAGUUUAGCCCUCAGACAAAAAAGAAAGCAGACAUGUGCGUUAUUGAGGGAUGCCUCUUUGCCUUAUUCUGCUGUUGGCUUUGUGAGGAAUGCUUCUGAAUUUACUAUAAGCACGACUACCAUAAUAGCUUCCUAGCU